GACGAACGCUGGCGGCGUGCUUAGCACAUGCAAGUCGAACGGUGAAGCGCCUUCCUUUUUGGUGGGUGUGGAUGAGUGGCGAACGGGUGAGUAACACGUGAGUAACCUGCCCCCUUCUUCUGGAUAACCGCAUGAAAGUGUGGCUAAUACGGGAUAUUCUGGGUCUGUCGCAUGAUGGGUCUGGGAAAGAUAUUGUUUCGGUGGGGGAUGGGCUCGCGGCCUAUCAGCUUGUUGGUGGGGUGAUGGCCUACCAAGGCGGUGACGGGUAGCCGGCCUGAGAGGGUGGACGGUCACACUGGGACUGAGACACGGCCCAGACUCCUACGGGAGGCAGCAGUGGGGAAUAUUGCACAAUGGGCGCAAGCCUGAUGCAGCGACGCCGCGGGAGGGAUGGAGGCCUUCGGGUUGUGAACCUCUUUCGCCAGUGAAGCAGGCCUGCCUCGUUUGUGGGUGGGUUGACGGUAGCUGGAUAAGAAGCGCCGGCUAACUACGUG
rnacentral:rRNA from 1 species